rnacentral:rRNA from 1 species
CUCUUAGAUGUUCUGGGCCGCACGCGCGCUACACUGAUGCAUUCAACGAGCCUAUCCUUGACCGACAGGUCCGGGUAAUCUUUGAAUCUGCAUCGUGACGGGGAUAGAUUAUUGCAAUUAUUAAUCUUCAACGAGGAAUGCCUAGUAGGCGCAAGUCAUCAGCUUGCGUCGAUUACGUCCCUGCCCUUUGUACACACCGCCCGUCGCUCCUACCGAUUGGGUGUGCUGGUGAAAUGUUCGGAUCGGCCGUUUGUCGCGGUUUCCGCGGCUCGUGGCUGAGAAGUUCAUUAAACCCUCCCACCUAGAGGAAGGAGAAGUCGUAACA